rnacentral:rRNA from 1 species
CCUACGGGUGGCAGCAGUGAGGAAUAUUGGUCAAUGGACGAGAGUCUGAACCAGCCAUGUCGCGUGCAGGAUGACUGCCCUAUGGGUUGUAAACUUCUUUUAUAUGGGAGUAAACGGUUCUACGUGUAGGAUUUUGUAUGUACCAUAUGAAUAAGGAUCGGCUAACUCCGUGCCAGCAGCCGCGGUAAUACGGAGGAUCCGAGCGUUAUCCGGAUUUAUUGGGUUUAAAGGGUGCGUAGGCGGAUGGUUAAGUCAGAUGUGAAAGUUUGCGGCGCAACCGUGAAAUUGCAGUUGAAACUGGCAGGCUAGAGAGUAGUAGAGGUAGGCGGAAUUCAUGGUGUAGCGGUGAAAUGCUUAGAGAUCACACAGAACACCGAUUGCGAAGGCAGCUUACUGGGCUGCAUCUGACACUGAGGCACGAAAGUGUGGGGAGCAAACAGGAUUAGAUACCCCUGUAGUC